AGUGAACGCUGGCGGUAGGCCUAACACAUGCAAGUCGAACGGCAGCACAGGAGAGCUUGCUCUCUGGGUGGCGAGUGGCGGACGGGUGAGGAAUACAUCGGAAUCUACUCUGUCGUGGGGGAUAACGUAGGGAAAUUUACGCUAAUACCGCAUACGACCUACGGGUUAAAGCAGGGGACCUUCGGGCCUUGCGCGAUUGAAUGAGCCGAUGUCGGAUUAGCUAGUUGGCGGGGUAAAGGCCCACCAAGGCGACGAUCCGUAGCUGGUCUGAGAGGAUGAUCAGCCACACUGGAACUGAGACACGGUCCAGACUCCUACGGGAGGCAGCAGUGGGGAAUAUUGGACAAUGGGCGCAAGCCUGAUCCAGCCAUACCGCGUGGGUGAAGAAGGCCUUCGGGUUGUAAAGCCCUUUUGUUGGGAAAGAAAUCCAGCUGGCUAAUACCCGGUUGGGAUGACGGUACCCAAAGAAUAAGCACCGGCUAACUUCGUGCCAGCAGCCGCAGUAA
rnacentral:rRNA from 1 species